AUGGUUGGGUCUGGUUUUGGGGAAGUUUGUACUUUAGGGGCGACUGCUGGUUCUGGUUUUGGGGAAGUUUCCUCUAUAGUGGUGACUGCUAGUUCUAGUUUUGGGGCAGUUUCUUCUUUAGCGGUGACAGCUAGUUCUGGUGGUGGGGAAGUUUCUAAUUUAAGGGUGAAUGCUGGUUCUGGUUUUGGGGAAGUUUCUUCUUUAGGGGUGACUGCUGGUUCUGGUUUGCGGGAAUUUUCUACUUUAGGUGUGACAACUGGCUCCUGUUGUGGGGAUGUCUCCUCUUUAGGGGUGACAGUAGGGUACGGUUUAGGAGAUGUCUCCUCUUUAAGGGUGACAGUUGGCUCCUGUUGUGGGGAUGUCUCCUCUUUAAGGGUGACAGUUGGCUCUGGUUGCGGGGCUGUUUCUUCUUUAGGGGCGACAGUGGCGUCCGGUUUAGGGGAUGUUUCUUCUUUAGGGGUUACGGUUGGCUCCUGUUGUGGGGAUGACUCCUCUUUAGGGGUGACAGUUUGGUCCGGUUUUGGGGAUGUUUCGUCUUUAGGGGUGACAGUGGGUUCCGGUUUAGGGGAUGUCACCUCUUUAGUGGUGAAUGCUAGUUCUGGUUUUGGGGACGUUUCUUCUUUAGUGGUGACUGCUGGUUCUGUUUUUGGGGAAGUUUCUUCUUUAGUGGUGACUGCUAGUUCUGGUUUUGGGGACGUUUCUUCUUUUGCAGUGACUGCUGGUUCUGGUUUAAUGGAAGUUUCUUCUUUAGGGGUGACAGUUGGCUCUGAAUACAGGCUUGUUUCUUCUUUAGGAGUCACAGUGGGGUUGGGUUUAGGGGAUGUCUCCGAUUCUUUCCCCUUGUCCUCACUCAUUGAGACAUCUUUUGUGACCUUUUCUCUGCCAUUAUGUUCCUUCUGCACAAAACUUUUUACACUAUCAUCCUUGCUGCUCACUUUUUGCUCUGUCGGACCCACCUCCUUUUUAGGAGUCUUUUGCAAAGGCUCUUCCUUACACUCACUUGUUGUGCUGAGAAUUCUGUCUGGCAUUUUACCUCCUACUGUUCUCUCAUCUUGUGUCGUUUUUACACCAGAAUCAUCAGGUGACUUCACCUGCUCCACUGUCUCCUUGGUUGAACUGGUGUUGAGCUCUGCAGUGUUAUCAGAGGAUUCCAUGUCCUUCUCUGUGGGCUCAGGGAGAUCCUCUUCUUGUGUUGUCACAGCACUCUCUGCCUCUUGA
rnacentral:lncRNA from 1 species